rfam:Bombyx mori DNA, contig: Bm_scaf62_contig29279, strain: p50T/Dazao, build 2, whole genome shotgun sequence.
GUGUCGGGUUUGGACGGGAAGCGGAUGCGGCCGGUGCCGGGUCUGGUCGAUGUUCGUGCGUUAUGUUCGUUUUAGCGAGUUAGUAUUUUAAUAUAAUGCGGCCUCAAAAACUGUAUAUAUUUAAUAUGACACUCGCGAAAAUCGUCUUACGUUUCGGACUGGAUCCGGACCCGCGUUCUCCGGCCUUCCGCGGAUCUUCCUAGCCGUAAGGUCGUGUCGGUUUCGUUUCGUGCGCGAUCGGCACGAUUCUGUACGACCGCCGUUCAACGGUCAGCUCAGAACUGGCACGGACAAGGGGAAUCCGACUGUCUAAUUAAAACAAAGCAUUGCGAUGGCCCUCGCGGGUGUUGACGCAAUGUGAUUUCUGCCCAGUGCUCUGAAUGUCAACGUGAAGAAAUUCAAGCAAGCGCGGGUAAACGGCGGGAGUAACUAUGACUCAAUUAAGGUAGCCAAAUGCCUCGUCAUGUAGCCAGUGACUCGCAUGAAUGGAUGAACCAGAUUGCCAUUGUCCCGGCCUACGAU